AACGCGUGAGUAACCUGCCUUCAAGAGGGGGAUAACAUUCUGAAAAGAAUGCUAAUACCGCAUGACAUAUCGGGAUCACAUGAUUUUGAUAUCAAAGAUUUUAUCGCUUGAAGAUGGACUCGCGUCCGAUUAGUUAGUUGGUGAGGUAACGGCUCACCAAGACCGCGAUCGGUAGCCGGACUGAGAGGUUGAACGGCCACAUUGGGACUGAGACACGGCCCAG
rnacentral:rRNA from 1 species